CUUCUGACGAAAAAUUCCUUUCCUACCGUUGCCGCCGUCGCUGUCUUCUCAGUCGUAUUCGUAUUUGUCUGCUCCGGUCUUCGACGUCGUUCUCCAAGAUAGAGAAGCUUCUACAGUUUCGGCGGAGGCUUUGUCUAUUACACACAAUGUGAUCCUCGGGUAGUAAAGGCGCAGCCGAGUCUCGGUGCUGCACAGCCAUGGCUUCUGUUCUCAACCCAUCGGCUUCCACCGGGUAAACCAGAUCAAAAUAUUAAUACAUGGUGGCGCCAAAAAGGUAUGUGAUGAAGGUAUAGGAAUUCAUGUCGACAAGGAAAUUGUGAAGAAAGGUCUCGAGAAUGACACCAAGGUUUUGGCUAUAGUAAACACCAAGAACAACAAUGGUGUCAAACUUGUCUCAAAGAUGCGACGACAACAAUGCUUCGGCUACUGGCUUCGCCUACUUGUGCUGUCAAACAUAUCAUAUGAGAGAAUGAUGGAUAUUUCCGAGUAUUAAAGGUGCGUUUCUUUGGGGUUUGGUUGAAAAAUUUUAGUUCAAAUUUGAAUUAGAUUUGAAUUUGAGAAACUUUUGAGAGUUUUUCAUGAAUAGUGAGAUGGAUAGACAGGGUGUGUUUGUUUGGGGGUUUGGAUUUUGAAUUGAGAUUUGAAUAGUAAAAAUUUUGAAUUUGAAUUGUUGUAUGAUGCGAUAUAAAUAGGUGUUGAUGUGAUGUUUUUAAUGUAAAAUUGAUUUUUAAUAUAAUAUAAAAAAUGAAAAAUAAGUGUUUGAUUUGAUAUUUUUGAAAAAAAUAAAAUGAAUAAUGUAUUUAAAAUCCAAUUCCCGUACAAACACACCCUAAGGAUAUUGAGUCUAUUAACUUGUGAGUUAUUUUAUUUAUCUUAUUUUAAAAUGAAGGAAAUGAAUAAAUAGAUUUUAUGAUUAAAAAAAAUAUGAAAAAGAAAAAGGAUACUAUUAGACGCGGUAUAUACACAUUACAUUAGAAAUUUGAAAGUAGAGAUGGCAUUUUUGGGCCUAAUGGGCUCUUUCGUGUCCGACAGGCCCAGGCUGGAUUUUAAUUGGUCUGAAAACUCAAGACCAAGUACAGUUAGUCCGGGCCCAGCUGAAUUCUUUUAAUAUUUAAUUUUAGUUUAUUAAAGUUUUGUUUCAUUUUUAUAUAGUUAUAUUUUAUGAAUUUUUUAUUAAAAAAAUUAAAAGAUUAUUUUUAUUGAUUGUCUUCUAUG